AUGAACAUCGAGGAGGACCUGGAUGCCCUUUCCUGGCGCCUUGAGCCAUCUGGCCGCUUCUCCACGAAGUCCUUGUACGCCGCCAUUGCGCCCUCGGCGGCCCCGGAGCCCUUUAGCCUAAUCUGGGACAUCCGCCUACCUCUGAAGAUCAGGAUUUUCCUGUGGCAAUGGAUCCGUGGACGCCUCCCCUCUGGGGUUGAAGUCCUCAAGCGUAGCGGCCCGGGCGAUGGGAUGUGUCCCAUCUGUGGCACGAUCGAGGAUGCUAACCACAUCUUCUUCUUGUGCUCUACUGCCCAGUUCCUCUGGGCUUGCUUCCGCGAAACGGUCGGUGGACGGUGGUGCAAUACCAACUUCCCCGACUUACUUGCGGAGCUAACGCUUCCCCUACCCGCUACCUGA
rnacentral:rRNA from 1 species